UGCUGUAGCGGAACCCGGGGCGGGC
rnacentral:miRNA from 1 species